GAGGUGGAGUCUACAUCAGACACCUUCAGAGCUUGGGGAGAAACGUGCUGAGGGAGGGAAAGGAAGAACAGAGAUCUGGAAUACAGAGGAAAAGCAUCUAAUCAGAAAUAACAGCUCUCAUCAGGCACAGACAAUAGACAGCAAACUGGCUUCAGGAAAGCUAUUCAGGCAUCGUGGGAGCUAAAUCAACAGACACAAGGAAUAAACUUCCAGAUCUCAGAUCUUCUCAUACCACUGGACAGGACAACGUGCCUGAAGUGAUUGUGAAGAACACUUGAUACAAAGAGAAAAAAUGAGAUACUCCAGAGCUGCCCUGUAAUCCCUGAAUCCUGCUGAAUUCACACCCUGGUGAUAUAUCAAUGUCAAAGGGAUGCAACUGGUAAUUCUGCCUGGCUGUUAAACUGCCUGGUGUUACUCUAUUUCCAAUGGCUGCUGUCAAGUGCUUCCUCAAAUGCUUGGAGUGGCUCGGUUCAUCACGAAAUCCACCAGCCUGAGAGCCAGAAACAGGAGUGGUUUCAUUCCCAAAGCCUCACUGCCAGGUCUCAUUUGUGAAGAGCUGAGGCAUCAUUUGCUCUACAGUGAGAAACAACAGCCAGUAGGAAGAUAAAAAUCAACUUUUCAUGUAACUUUAGUGAAGAGGAUUUCUCUUUUACCUACCAUCCACCUGUCUUCUCACUUGAUCUCCUUCUCCCAGCUGGGUGUUCUCUGAAGUUCUCACUUGGUUUUGGAGGCCAUGGGAUAGGAGUUUUCAGGCCAGCCUGUGCUUUGGGAGUUUGGCGUAUCUUCCCUCCGAUGCUAAAAGGAAACCUGGUCGGGUUUGGACACCUUGGAAGGAUGACACAAAGCCAGCAAGAUCUCCUGUUGCUGGAACUCUCAUGAGAAGGUGUGGAUGUCGGUGUGGCUCUGGUGAGGAGUUUGGACUGAUCAUGGGUGGAGAGAGCAAGAGAUGCUGGAGCAGGUAUGGGACAACAGGUCAAGGCUUUGACCUGUAAUCCUCUCACCUCUGACAUCCCACAGAGACUCCUGAUGGCCAAGAGACUACCUUUUCCAAGAGGAAUAUGUCCUGCAGUAAGAUCUCCAGUUUGAGGUAAAAAUAACUAUCACAUCCUUCCCAGGCCCACGGAAAAGCACCUGCCUGGGCAGCAGGAGACUGGAAAACCGCAGGUGUGAAACUGGAUGUGCCAACUUCUGUACAGGCCAUCCGUGAAUUUAGACUGCCCCACCUUCACUUUGCCCUGGUAACACUUUGGAUUAUCUUGAUUUUUAUUCACACAUGGAAGGUGAAACCAUCUGAAUCUUAAUGUUUAAUGAGUUGGGGAUUGCUUCUCAGUCUCAAUAAAUCCAUUGGCCUCUUUGUCAGCGAGGAGUAAAGAGCUGUUUUCAAUUCAUGGUACGUCUUCAAAGUUUUUUUCAAAGAUUACUUUUUUUUUUCCCCUCUCCUCUCAUGUAUCUCAGAAGAAACCAGGCUGCCAAACUGCUCCAGGAAGCUCUUCUGAGAUAGAGACAUCCAUCUCUGUGUACGGUCUGUACUUGUGAAGCGGAGCACAAAGCCCUUUUUCCAUUUAAUCCAUAUUAAUUAUCUCUUUGCAGCUCCUCUGUAGUUUCCACUCAGCCCAAGCAGUCAAAAACUUGUGUGGCUGCAUCUUGAACAAACCACAGCCUUUCAUUCCACACCUGGUAAGUCAAUGCUCCAAAAAUAAAAAUAAAUAAAGAGGUUUACUGCUGAGGAAUUGGGGCUCUCCACACUUGAACACUGAAUGCCGUGGGACUGUGGACGAAGGCAGAUAUUUUUAGUGCCAUCAAUAUCUCCUGGAGUUGAUAUCUCCCAAGACAGAUGGUUGUUUCCCACAGAACGUUGUCAAAUGUUUGCUCAGCCAAGAUCAAUUUUGUUCCAAGUCCUUUCCCACCUUCUGGUGAAAUAUAUUUCACUUGCCAGACUAAAAAUUAAAGAAACAGCAUGAAACCAUGCCACUCUAGAGGGUUCUCAUUCCCAUGGCUCUCCUCUGUGCUUUAGCCAUGUGACUGACAUCUCUUUCUGUGCCCGUGGAGGAGUAAUAGAUGCACUCCUGGUGUGAGCACGAUGCCAAAAAAACAGGGCUCGGGUCUCGUGGCAGAGGCUGAUUUCCUGUGAGACCCACAAGUCACUUCUCAGCCUGUCAAAGGGUCUCGCUGCCACACUUUGCUGUUAGACCUCCUAAAACCAAAGGAAUCCUGAGCUCUCCCCCUGAGCACCUCGGAUAGAGCUCGUAAGAAAAUGAGGUACAAAGGGGAAGGAGGAGCAAAAGCCAUGCUGAGGAGGGGGCGCAGAAAGUCUGGGCUGUGUCCAUUGCUCAGCAGCAGCUGCAACAUUUCUUUUACUGACAAGCCCAUGUGAGCCUGGAGACGUGGAGCCCCUUGGUGGUGUCUGCUCUGUGUGGAUUUUCAGCUGAAAUUACGGGGGGCAAAGGACUCUUUAAAGUGUGGCACGGAAUGUGUCUAUUUUCCUUUCCUUGCUGGUUGUUAUUUUUAGCUGAGCCUGACUUGUCACAGCGUAAGAGACAGAGCUGGUACUAUCUGAAGGACAAGCUCCCUUAUAAUGCCUGAUUGUUACAAGUGAGAAAUUACAGCAGCCAGUGCCAGCAGCAGUUUCUGAAAUGUGAUGAUGAUUCCUUCCUGUUGCAUUUUAGCUUGUUGUGGCUGUGGAUUUGAAAAAUGUUAACAUGGGGUUGUUUUCUAGGACGUUGGCAAUCCAGGAUCAGCAGGGUAUUUCUCAUCUUUAUCACUUCAUAUGUAAAAAUAAUUCUGAUUUAGUUUUGUAAU